CGAAGCAACGCGAAGUAACCUUACCAGGUUCUUGACAUCCAAGUAAAAUCUGUAGAGAUACAGUGUGCCUUCGGGGCGUACUGAGACAGGUGGUGCAUGGUUGUCGUCAGCUCGUGUCGUGAGAUGUUGGGUUAAGUCCCGCAACGAGCGCAACCCUUGUGAUCAGUUACUAACGGGUAAAGCCGAGGACUCUGAUAAGACUGCCGGGGACAACUCGGAGGAAGGUGGGGACGACGUCAAAUCAUCAUGCCCCUUAUGACCUGGGCUACACACGUGCUACAAUGGCCACUACAGAGAGCAGCAAAGCCGUAAGGUGGAGCCUAUCUCACAAAAGUGGUCCCAGUUCGGAUUGUGGGCUGCAACCCGCCCACAUGAAGUCGGAGUUGCUAGUAAUCGCGGAUCAGCAUGCCGCGGUGAAUACGUUCCCGGGC
rnacentral:rRNA from 1 species